CUGUGUGUACUGAACAGACAGCCACGUGGGCCAAAAUCACCCGAACAGUCCACGGGAAGGGCCAGCGUGCUUAGUCCAAGGACCAGCGUGCUGAUAUGUGUACUGAUGGACAGCCACGGACGUCCUGUGUGUGCUGACAGACAGCCACGAAAGUCCUGUUUGUGAUGGCAGACACUCAAGGACGUCCUGUGUGUACUGAAC
rnacentral:lncRNA from 1 species